rnacentral:rRNA from 1 species
UACGUAGGGUGCGAGCGUUAAUCGGAAUUACUGGGCGUAAAGCGUGCGCAGGCGGUUUUGUAAGACAGAUGUGAAAUCCCCGGGCUUAACCUGGGAACUGCGUUUGUGACUGCAAGGCUGGAGUGCGGCAGAGGGGGAUGGAAUUCCGCGUGUAGCAGUGAAAUGCGUAGAUAUGCGGAGGAACACCGAUGGCGAAGGCAAUCCCCUGGGCCUGCACUGACGCUCAUGCACGAAAGCGUGGGGAGCAAACAGG